GACGACGGUGGCAAUGUUCGGAAUAAGUUUAUUGCGAACUGCGGAAGAAGAUAAACUAUUAUUACUAGGUUAUCUUAAUAUGUACACGGCAAACAGACGCCAUUUAUAAUGAAAUAUAAGAUUACUUUAUACUAGAA